GCAACAGUGGUGCAAUGGCGAACACAUCUGCCUAGUAAGCAGGAGACCUGGGUUCAAGCCCUGGCUGUGGCA